AUGACUGAGAGCUGCUGCUCAGCAACUUCACCCACAGCAACCAUGACUUUGAUCAGCGUCUUCAUCUGCACACUGGCCCUCUGGACUCAAGGAUCCAGAGGUCAGGUGACUGUGACUCAGACUCCUUCAGUGCAAACUGCUGAUCCAGAAAAAACAGUCACCUUCAACUGUAGAACCAGUAGCAGCGUGUAUAAUGGUAACCAGCUACACUGGUACCUGCAGAAACCUGGAGAAGCUCCUAAACUCCUGAUCUACGAGGCUACUACUUUACAGUCAGGAACUCCAGCUCGUUUCAGUGGCAGUGGAUCUAAUACUGACUUCACUAUGACCAUCAGAGGAGUCCAGACUGAAGAUGCAGGCGAUUAUUACUGUCAGAGUGACCAUUAUAUCGGUAGUAGCUGGGUGUUCACACAGUGUUAGAGCGCCGUACAAAAACCUCGGUCAGUGAGAGUGCACAGAGAAGCACUGCUGCAGCUGGGAGCGACUGCAGGUGCUGAGGGGGAGGAUGUGAUACAGCACAAUGACACACACUGUGGACGAGAGAAAACACACCACACUAACUCACUAAUGCACACACACAUCUGUGAGAGGAGUCCACCUUUCUCAGCUGUGGACAUACAAACAAUUCCUCAUCAUUCUCAUUCACUGCUUAGUAAUUAUCUUUAUCCUGUUUUAGAAAGUUAAAGAAGUAUUUAUUAUAUUUAUAUUUUGUUACAUAUAUGAUUUACCAAAGAGUUCUUUAUGGUUAAUAUCAAACACUAUUAUAGAUUUAAUAUUUUAUUAUAUAAUCUUUAAUAUUCAUUAAAUUGAUUCACAUUAUAGAGCUGAGACUGACAUUUAACUGAACCUUUCUUUAAUUAUUAAUAAACCCUUAGAUAAUGAUUUUCUGUAUAAAGUCAUCAAAAACAAAAUAAAUCAGCAGCACGGUCAACAACCUGAGCCCUACAACAACCAUGCAGAAAGUCUGACCAAUCCCACAAGGUGUUGCAGAAAGUCUGAAUAAUCCCACCUGCUCCUGAUCAAACUCUCACCAAUCCCGCCCCACCCAGUCUCACAGUACAAACGUUUCCAUGUAACUUAUCUGUAGCUCCUUCUACAUGUUGAAUAUCAAUGUUCUGCCACAGGAAUAUGUGUAUUUCAGAAUCAAACCAAACAAAACAAAGAAAGAGAGGAAGGGACUUGAAGAAAAGUUCAGUGAGCAGGAGAAGUUUAAAUCAGUGGCGUGAGGAGAGGAGGAGUGGAGCUGUAGAAGACAGGAGGAGGAGAGAGGAAUAACAUCUUAUAUGAUAGUGAGGGCGUGGAAUGUCCAAAACGUCCUACAGAGGAGGGUCGAGGGCCGUGAUAAAUAUUCACCUCUAUGACAUAUUAAUAUUCAUGCACAUUACAAGCAAAAUAAUGCUGAAAACAUGUGUACAUGAAAUUCCAGGCAUCUCUCCUGAAUUUUAGAGUAAAGAAGUGAAGUGUCCCGCUUUGACAGCGUCACGUGUGAAAGUAGAGUCCAACAAGCAGAGAUUCUAAGAAGUACCGUUCUACCUGUGUUUGGUAUUUCUAAAUUUGUGUAAGGAAGAUUAUAAGCUUUUUAUCAUGGUUUUAUUUUUGUAUUUUAUGUGAAACGGUGAUGAUGGUUAAAAAAAGUGAUAGAAAAUGUCAUAUUUUCAAAAGCAACAGAUAGAUUUCACUCGCUUUGUUUACUUCCGGGUCAGUAGAGAUGUCACUCGGGGCAUUUUAUAGAUCAAUCUAUUGUAAACACGGCAUCACAGACACAAUGAAAAGAGAAAGUGAGAUAUACUGACACUUUAGGUAAUGGUUCAAAUGCAGUACACUUCACAAAACUCGAGUUAAAAGGUGGAAAAGACCCGUAUGAAGACAUUGUUAUGAAGGACUGGUCAACUGUUCUGGAUUCUUUCCCACUGUUGACAUACACAGACAUCAUGUGUCACCUGGUAAAUGGGAAAAGUGCUUAUAGCUUGGAACAAAUGAAAGCAUUCAAGUUACUUUAAUAAUAAAAUGACUUUAUUUGUGGAUUGUUUAGAGAUGUUCAACACACUGUACUUAACAACUGACAUCUCAUCUCCAUACUGCUAAGGUUUAUUUAUUUACUCAUCUUAUAAAAUGUAAUAUUGCACCUUAAUGACUGAAUGUACUGUAUAUGAUAUGAAUAAAAGCUCAGUAUUACUGUCUGAAUAUUCUGGUGUAAGCUUCUUUAAGAACUGUUUUAAACUGCUCAGGUUGGGAAAAAUCAUAAAGUGGUCCCGUAGCAUGUAAAUUGCACUCGUCUUGUCAGUUUAAGAAGUUAUAUGUAGGUCCAAGUGAACCAGCCCUGAAUGAUCCUGCAAAUAUGAUAUCGGAUUCAUUUGUGCAGGAUUUUCAUGACGAAAUUGAGUCACUCAAGUGUAAAAUGUAGGUGAUGCUGACCCUUAACAUACAGUACAGUGAUGGUGAUUUUAAAUUCUGCUCUCUCCCUGGUGGGGAAAAAAACAAUUCUGUGUGAACAUGUGCUUUACAGUAUUGAUGUGUUUAUGAUUGGACCAGGUCUGAGCAUGUGCAAGUACAUUUUAUUUUCUUUCAAUAAACAUUUCAAAACAAUCAAUGAUGAGUGCAACCUUCAGUCCAAAGUUUC